UCCCUGGUGGUCUAGCAGGUAGGAUAUGGCAUUUGCACUGCUGUGGCCUGGGUUUGAUCCAUGGUCUGGGAA
rnacentral:tRNA from 1 species